CCUACGGGUGGCAGCAGUAGGGAAUAUUGGACAAUGGGCGAAAGCCUGAUCCAGCCAUGCCGCGUGAGUGACGAAGGUCUUCGGAUUGUAAAACUCUUUUAUGAGGGAAGAACAUCCCGGGGAGGAAAUGCCCCGGGCUUGACGGUACCUCAGGAAUAAGGGACGGCUAACUCCGUGCCAGCAGCCGCGGUAAUACGGAGGUCCCGAGCGUUGUUCGGAAUUACUGGGCGUAAAGGGGGCGCAGGCGGACAGGUCAGUGGAAAGUGGAAGCCCGGGGCUCAACCCCGGAAAGCCUUUCCAUACUGCCUGUCUUGAGUUCGUGAGAGGAGAGCGGAAUUCAGGGUGUAGCGGUGAAAUGCUUAGAUAUCCUGAGGAACACCAAUGGCGAAAGCAGCUCUCUGGCGCGUUACUGACGCUGAGGCCCGAAAGCGUGGGGAGCGAACGGGAUUAGAUACCCCAGUAGUCCAC
rnacentral:rRNA from 1 species